rnacentral:rRNA from 1 species
UAGGGAAUCUUCCGCAAUGGGCGAAAGCCUGACGGAGCAACGCCGCGUGAGUGAUGAAGGUCUUCGGAUCGUAAAACUCUGUUAUUAGGGAAGAACAAAUGUGUAAGUAACUAUGCACGUCUUGACGGUACCUAAUCAGAAAGCCACGGCUAACUACGUGCCAGCAGCCGCGGUAAUACGUAGGUGGCAAGCGUUAUCCGGAAUUAUUGGGCGUAAAGCGCGCGUAGGCGGUUUUUUAAGUCUGAUGUGAAAGCCCACGGCUCAACCGUGGAGGGUCAUUGGAAACUGGCAGACUUGAGUGCAGAAGAGGAAAGUGGAAUUCCAUGUGUAGCGGUGAAAUGAGCAGAGAUAUGGAGGAACACCAGUGGCGAAGGCGACUUUCUGGUCUGUAACUGACGCUGAUGUGCGAAAGCGUGGGGAUCAAACAGG